GAUGAACGCUAGCGGCAGGCCUAACACAUGCAAGUCGAGGGGCAGCACGUCUUCGGAUGGUGGCGACCGGCGCACGGGUGCGUAACGCGUAUGCAACCUACCUCUUACAGUGGGAUAGCCCAGAGAAAUUUGGAUUAAUACCGCAUAGUAUACAGAUUCAGCAUUGGGACUGUAUUAAACAUUUAUGGGUAAGAGAUGGGCAUGCGUUCUAUUAGUUAGUUGGAGUGGUAACGGCACCCCAAGACAGCGAUAGAUAGGGGCCCUGAGAGGGGGAUCCCCCACACUGGUACUGAGACACGGACCAGACUCCUACGGGAGGCAGCAGUGAGGAAUAUUGGGCAAUGGGCGAAAGCCUGACCCAGCCACGCCGCGUGAGUGAAGAAGG
rnacentral:rRNA from 1 species